rnacentral:lncRNA from 1 species
AUCACAUUCUAGGAGACAAAACAAGUUUAGUAAAUUUUAAAGGAUUCAAGUCUAACAAAGUAUGAAGUUAAACUAGAAAUCAAUAAUAGAAUAUCUCCAGAAAAACUGCUAACCAUUUGGAAACUAAUUUACACACUUCUAAGUAACAGAUGGAAGCUUACGUUACUGAUUUCAGACCUUUCUUCUCUUAGGAUGCAUCCUCACAAAUCCAGUGGAAUCAGAGGUACCCUAACAGUUGAAUAGUUCUAUCUUUCUCUCUCAUUCAAGGCUGGAAUCUGACAUCUACUAAUACUGAGAAAUCAUGACACCUCCACAACAUGGUUGGUGAAUGGAGUAGGUCCACACCCGGGAUCCAAACCUGUGAACCCAGGCCACUGAAGCGGAGUGUAGGGAACUUUAUACUUGACCAUGGGGCUGGGCCCUAAUGUUGGAUUUGCAUCUGCCACUUUGCUUUUUAAUUUUUAUGUCUCAUAUAUUUUUAUUUCCUCUGUUGCUUCUUUACUGUAUUUUUUUGCAGCAAAUACAUACUUUCUAUUUCAUCAUUUUUAUUCCGUUAUUACCAUUGUUGUUUUCACCAUAUUUUGGGUGUUAUUUUCUUAGCGUUUUUUCUGGAGAUUACAAUAUGUAUCUUAAUUUAUCACAACCAACUUCAGAUCAAUAUUAACAAUUCCAGUAAAACAUAGAUUUUUUUCCAACAAAGCUCCUCUUUUCCCUUCUCCUUUGUGAUAUUAUUACCAUUUCUAUUACAUACACACACGUUAAGGUUCAAC